rnacentral:ribozyme from 1 species
UGUUAGCAUAAAACUAAUGCUCUACAUGUACAUUUAAUGCAACCUACGCCUCCGAAGUACAAGGAGAGUACGACUGGUCCCAAGUCCAGGAUGAAAGAUGCAGAGGGGAUG